rnacentral:lncRNA from 1 species
UUUAUUUUACAUAUAUUUCAUAAAAUAUUAAUUGUAAAUAGUAUCUUAUAAAUAUCAUGAAUAACAAAUAUAUUUCUAUAAAAAUUGUAAAGAUAUAUUUCUAUAUACUAUAUAUAUUUCUAUAUUUAUAUAAAGUAUAAAUUUUUAUAUAUCUCUAUAUUUCUAUAUACUUUAUAUAUUUCUAUAAUUUUUUUACAUAUACUUUAUAUAUUUCUAUAUUUAUAUAAAGUAUAAUUUUUUAUUUUUAUCUGUGUAAAAAUUGUAAAGAUUAAAAUAUUAUUUCACUUACAUGCUGUUAAAAAUAAACUAUAUUCUAAUGAUAACAAAUCAUAUAUAUCACUGGACAGAAAUAAAAAUAAAAAAUUAAGCUUUAUAAGAAUAUAUUUACUAUUCGAUAUGUUUAUAAAAAACUAUAUGUAAUUAACCCUUUUAUAAAUGUAUACCAACCACAUAAAUUAUACUACGAUGAUAUUUAAUAUGCAAUUUCACCUUACUAACUAUUAAUCUAGAGCGCACAGUAAAUAUCAAAAAUCAUCUUUAU